UCCAAUGUAGUUCAAAGGUUAGAACGCUUGGUUUACACCCAAGUGAUCAGAGUUCGAUUCUCUGCAUCGGAA